rnacentral:rRNA from 1 species
GACGAACGCUGGCGGCGUGCUUAACACAUGCAAGUCGAACGGAAAGGCCCUGCUUUUGUGGGGUGCUCGAGUGGCGAACGGGUGAGUAACACGUGAGUAACCUGCCCUUGACUUUGGGAUAACUUCAGGAAACUGGGGCUAAUACCGGAUAGGAGCUCCUGCUGCAUGGUGGGGGUUGGAAAGUUUCGGCGGUUGGGGAUGGACUCGCGGCUUAUCAGCUUGUUUGUGGGGUAGUGGCUUACCAAGGCUUUGACGGGUAGCCGGCCUGAGAGGGUGACCGGCCAAAUUGGGACUGAGAUACGGACCAGACUCCUACGGGAGGCAGCAGUGGGGAAUAUUGCACAAUGGGCGGAAGCCUGAUGCAGCAACGCCGCGUGCGGGAUGACGGCCUUCGGGUUGUAAACCGCUUCCGCCUGUGACGAAGCGUGAGUGACGGUAAUGGGUAAAGAAGCACCGGCUAACUACGUG